GAGGGUACAGCUCAAGUGGUAGAGCACAUGCUUAGCAUGCACAAGGUCCUGGGUUCAAUCCCCAGUACCUCCU
rfam:Camelus ferus unplaced genomic scaffold scaffold955, whole genome shotgun sequence.